rnacentral:rRNA from 1 species
CCCUUAGAUGUUCUGGGCCGCACACGCGCUACACUGAAGGAGGCAGCGUGUACUCCUGGAUCGAAAGAUUUGGGUAACCCGCGAAUCUCCUUCGUGCUAGGGAUUGAGGUUUGCAAUUAUCCUUCAUGAACGAGGAAUUCCCAGUAAGUGCAAGUCAUAAGCUUGCGCUGACUACGUCCCUGCCCUUUGUACACACCGCCCGUCGCUACUACCGAUUGAAUGAUUUAGUGAGGACUUCGGACUGGGACCGAUGCGGCUUUCGGGCUGCGUCGGUAUUCUGGAAAGAUGUCCAAACUGUAUCAUUUAGAGGAAGUAAAAGUCGUACA